GAUUUAGCCAUGCUAGUCGCACGAGUUCAGACUCGUGGCGAAUAGCUCAGUAACACGUGGCCAAACUACCCUUCGGAACACAAUACCCUCGGGAAACUGAGGCUAAUAGUGUAUACCAUACCACCACUGGAAUGAGUGGUAUGCCAAACGCUCCGGCGCCGAAGGAUGUGGCUGCGGCCGAUUAGGUAGACGGUGGGGUAACGGCCCACCGUGCCAAUAAUCGGUAUGGGUCAUGAGAGUGAGAACCCAGAGACGGAAUCUGAGACAAGAUUCCGGGCCCUACGGGGCGCAGCAGGCGCGAAACCUUUACACUGCACGACAGUGCGAUAGGGGGAUCCCAAGUGCACAGGCAUAGCGCCUGUGCUUUUCGGUACCCUAAGGCGGUACCAGAAUAAGGGCUGGGCAAGACCGGUGCCAGCCGCCGCGGUAAUACCGGCAGCCCAAGUGAUGGCCGAUCUUAUUGGGCCUAAAGCGUCCGUAGCUGGCCGCGCAAGUCCAUCGGGAAAUCCACCUGCUCAACAGGUGGGCGCCCGGUAGAAACUGCGUGGCUUGGGACCGGAAGGCGCGACGGGUACGUCCGGGGUAGGAGUGAAAUCCCGUAAUCCUGGACGGACCGCCGAUGGCGAAAGCACGUCGCGAGAACGGAUCCGACAGUGAGGGACGAAAGCCAGGGUCUCGAACCGGAUUAGAUACCCGGGUAGUCCUGGCCGUAAACAAUGUCUGCUAGGUGUGGCUCCCACUACGAGUGGGUGCUGUGCCGCAGGGAAGCCGCUAAGCAGACCGCCUGGGAAGUACGUCCGCAAGGAUGAAACUUAAAGGAAUUGGCGGGA
rnacentral:rRNA from 1 species